ACACAUGCAAGUCGAACGGAAAGGCCCUGCUUGCAGGGUACUCGAGUGGCGAACGGGUGAGUAACACGUGGGUGAUCUGCCCUGCACUUCGGGAUAAGCUUGGGAAACUGGGUCUAAUACCGGAUAGGAACCAUCUUUAGUGUGGUGGUUGGAAAGUUUUUUCGGUGUAGGAUGAGCUCGCGGCCUAUCAGCUUGUUGGUGGGGUAAUGGCCUACCAAGGCGGCGACGGGUAGCCGGCCUGAGAGGGUGUACGGCCACAUUGGGACUGAGAUACGGCCCAGACUCCUACGGGAGGCAGCAGUGGGGAAUAUUGCACAAUGGGCGCAAGCCUGAUGCAGCGACGCCGCGUGGGGGAUGAAGGCCUUCGGGUUGUAAACUCCUUUCGCUAGGGACGAAGCUUUUUGUGACGGUACCUAGAUAAGAAGCACCGGCUAACUACGUGCCAGCAGCCGCGGUAAUACGUAGGGUGCGAGCGUUGUCCGGAAUUACUGGGCGUAAAGGGCUCGCAGGUGGUUUGUCGCGUCGUCUGUGAAAUUCUGGGGCUUAACUCCGGGCGUGCAGGCGAUACGGGCAUAACUUGAGUGCUGUAGGGGUAACUGGAAUUCCUGGUGUAGCGGUGAAAUGCGCAGAUAUCAGGAGGAACACCGAUGGCGAAGGCAGGUUACUGGGCAGUUACUGACGCUGAGGAGCGAAAGCAUGGGU
rnacentral:rRNA from 1 species